UCGCCCCUUUUCGGGGGAGGCGGGGGGGGGGGAGGAAGCCCGGACCCCAAAGGGAGGGGUGCGAGGUACCGCCCGGGGGGGAAACCCAACGACCAGUGCAAAAGAGAGCAAACCGCCGAUGGCCCACGUAAGUGGGAUCAGGUAAGGGUGAAAGGGUGCGGUAAGAGCGCACCGCGCGGCUGGUAACAGUCCGUGGCACGGUAAACUCCACCCGGAGCAAGGCCAAAUAGGGGUUCAUAAGGUACGGCCCGUACUGAACCCGGGUAGGCUGCUUGAGCCAGUGAGCGAUUGCUGGCCUAGAUGAAUGA
rnacentral:RNase_P_RNA from 1 species